rnacentral:rRNA from 1 species
UACGUAGGGGGCAAGCGUUGUCCGGAUUUAUUGGGCGUAAAGAGCUCGUAGGCGGCUUGUCACGUCGGGUGUGAAAGCCCGGGGCUUAACCCCCGGGUCUGCAUUCGAUACGGGCUAGCUAGAGUGUGGUAGGGGAGAUCGGAAUUCCUGGUGUAGCGGUGAAAUGCGCAGAUAUCAGGAGGAACACCGGUGGCGAAGGCGGAUCUCUGGGCCAUUACUGACGCUGAGGAGCGAAAGCGUGGGGAGCGAACAGG